UCCGAAUUGGUGUAGGGGUUAACAUUUGACGCUCUCAUUCUUUCCACAAAGAAUAGUACCGUCAGGCCCGGGGUUCGAUUCCCCGAUUCGGAG